UUCUAUCAAAGUCAAUGUCCUUAAUUAUUUCGUAUAACAACCCAGGAAUCUCUGAGGGCUCUGCCCUCUCUAACAAGUGCUCAACAACCACUGGAACAGACAAUGGAAUAUUGACCUUAAGUUCCUUCUUGAGACUAGACCUUCGCUGUAAGCAAAGAAAUUUACAUUCUUUCCUGUGA
rnacentral:lncRNA from 1 species